ACCCUUGCAUUUGCAUUAAAUUCCCUCACAAAAUUUGGGUAAGUGGGCAAGUUCAAGGAACAAAGAUACUCCCAUCCUUGAAAUUUCAGAAGCUCCCCAAUCUCAAAACCCUCGGUCUCCAAAAAAUCAAGUCAAUAUUUUUUCCCUCAGUCACUAUCCUAGAAGAGAAUCUAGCUUUUUGACCCUGCACAGGAGAGGGUGAAGAUACUGAAGGAGGAGCAGCC
rnacentral:lncRNA from 1 species